GUUCGAUUUGGAUUCUCUCUUUAAAAACAUUCUAAUUAAUCACAUGUUCUACCUUCUUUAACAUUAUAGAUUUGAAAUCCGUUUGGUUGCCAAGAAAAGCGACAGUGGAAGUCACCAAAAUCAGUACAUUUUCAGAUUCAUAUAUACUGGGAAUUGCUCUGUUCUGAUUUGAAUUCUCUUGUACACUGUCAGCUCAAUUUUUAUGGGCUGACAGAUCUAAUAUUCUUUCUAUUUCCAUUUAUUGUCUUUCAUUAGCAGCCAAACAACACACGCAAUCCAAAUCGAGUCCCCAGCAAUCUCCGGAGAAAACCAUGGACGGAUCACUAUCCCUCGUACUGCCCGCAGAACCUCGACCCGUAGAAAGCCCAUCCAAGUAGAACCAGAAAGCUCACAGCCAUUGACUCAAUUGUCGCCGCGGGGCGAGGAGAGCCGUUUCUAAAGAGAUGGACCAAGAAAAGACUGAGGUGCCUAAAACUCCUGCCGCACCGAACACCUGGAGAAGGGCUUCGACUGCUUCUGCUCGACAGAACACCACUCAGAAGGAGAAAGUGGGGUCUGGGGUGUGAGGUUGAUAACUUUUUUAUAUGUAUUGUUUUUUAGGAGAAGAUGGUGAAUUUUCUUAGAAGUUGUGAAAAUUUGAAUUAAAAGUUGCAGUUAACUUGAAAUAAGAGAAGUGCAUGGUUUAAAUAAAAAAACUCUUUCAAAG
rnacentral:lncRNA from 1 species